rnacentral:rRNA from 1 species
AAUUGGAGGGCAAGUCUGGUGCCAGCAGCCGCGGUAAUUCCAGCUCCAAUAGCGUAUAUUAAAGUUGUUGCAGUUAAAAAGCUCGUAGUUGAAUUUCGGGAUCAAUAUUUCGGUCAUGCCGUUGGUAUGCACUGUUAUAAUUGAUUUCUCACCUUCUAAAGAACCGUAAUGCCAUUAAUUUGGUGUUACGGGGAAUUAGGACUGUUACCUUGAAAAAAUUAGAGUGUUUAAAGCAGGCUCACGCUUGAAUACAUUAGCAUGGAAUAAUGAAAUAGGACAUCCGAUUCUAUUUUGUUGGUUUCUAGGAUCGAUGUAAUGAUUAAUAGGGAUAGUUGGGGGCAUUAGUAUUCAAUUGUCAGAGGUGAAAUUCUUGGAUUUAUUGAAGACUAACUACUGCGAAAGCAUUUGCCAAGGAUGUUUUCAUUAAUCAAGAACGAAAGUUAGGGGAUCGAAGACGAUCAGAUACCGUCGUAGUCUUAACCAUAAACUAUGCCGACUAGGGAUCGGAUGAUGUUAAUUUUUUAAUGACUCAUUCGGCGCCUUACGGGAAACCAAAGUGU